rnacentral:tRNA from 1 species
GCCCUGGUGGCACAGUGGUUAAAGUAUUUGGCUGCUAACCAAAAGGUCGGUGGUUUGAGCCAACCAGCUGCU